rnacentral:lncRNA from 1 species
CAGUCCUUUAAAGCCUUUAAUCCCACUUGUUUUUAGAGAGUUGAUAAAGAUGACAUGAGAGCCCAACGGAGAGCUCCUAUAUAAUAUACCCACCAAUAAUUUUGAGUCAAAAAGAAUGCUAGUUCGUAACUUGUAUUUGAUGGGUUUUAGCCAUAAGAACUUUCCUAUGUGCGCAUGCAAAACCCUAAUGCUUGGAUCUAGGGUUUCUAAUUAAAUAUGCUUUGAAUCCAAGACUUCUAAUGACUAAAUAGAUAUAAGAACAAUACUAAAUCAGAUCUAGAAUCAUACCUUUGAAUCUCUUGUUUGAUCUUGUUGUCUUGGAGCUCUAGAGUCACAAUUGUCACUCCUCUAAUGGCUUACAAACACCAAAUAGCAAGAAGGAUGAUUUGGGAGAGAGGAGAGGGGAGGAAAUCGGCCAGGGGUUCUCUACUUUAGAUCAAGUGCCGAUUUCCCUUUGCCAUAUGGUCUAUUUAUACUUGUAGACUCCUUAAGGGUUACAACCUAAACCCUAGUUGGAUAAUCUUCUCUUAAAGCAAUCCAAAUCCAUUCCUUAGAUAGACUUGGACGAUUUGAAGCUAUCUCUAGCUUCUAGAAUCCGUCCACCCCUAUCCAAUAUGUAUUUACAGUCUAAAGUUUAACUAUCAAACAAUUGACAGUUUAUACCCUCUUAUUUAAUUAAUCUCUUUAAGUCACCAAAUUAAUUCUAAUUAAUUUAUGACUUAUAUUAAUCAAAUAACAAUAUUAUUAUUCUUUAUAUUAUUCUCAUAAUAUAUUAAUAAUAUUUAUUCUCUCUUAAUAAAUCAUCCUAUCAAGUUGCUAUGGUGAAGGCAACCCAAAAGGACCAUGCACAACCGGGUCAAAUACUUGCCUAAUAUAGUUGCAGCCUUAGACACUAUUCCAACAGUCUCCCACUUGGAUAAGUCUAGUAACUAUAUGCACAAGUACAAUUCGAUUUGCAAUCGUAGCUCUCAAAGACGCUGUCAAACUCUGAUCUAAUCAAUCUUGUCCUUUAGAUAAGGGAUCGUACAGUCCUCUGUUAGAUAUCAUGCUGACAAUCCUAUGGAAUGGUUAGUCAAGCAUUUAGGUUUCUCGAUCUCUGAUUUAUUUGACAUAGAACUUAAUCGAACACAUCAAUUCAGUUCUGACCGGGCCCGGCACAUAAGUCAAAUCAAAUCAUCGAGCGGCCGAGAUAUCGCUUUUACCUUCUUAGAUAAAAGUUACAGAUAAACUUCGACUUAUAUGCAUUUACUUAUUCAUUUACCAACUAUACACAACAAUACGUUUUAUAACACCAAGUUACUGAUGCGUUUUCGUAUUAUCAAUGUACAAUCAAUUAACAAAUAAUAAACCAUAUAUCUAGGUUUUAAGACUAUAUGAUAUUAUCGUCUUGCGAUCACCUUUUAUAUCGUAUUCCAUAAGGUGAUUCCAGCAAGCGCGGGUUUAUUCCAAUGCUCAAAACUAGUUCAUAAGCACUCAUGAACGUUGCAGCAAUCCUUUGCUAUGUCUAACACCAUUUAGACAUUCUACACACCAAUUCAUGACAAUCUUCAUUCAUAUCUACUCCCAACAUAUGAACGAUUGUGGACCAUUUGAACAAUUCGAUUAUUCCUAAUAAACUCAAUUAUUCUGGAAGUCAAAACAUGCAAAGUGAAACAAUAGCUAAACAAUUAACAUAAGAUAGUAACAUUACUCAUAAAUAAAACUCCUUUAUUUAAUCAUCAAAUGUUAAUUACAUUUAUCUAUUACACGUUUCUAAUACUAUCUAAUCUAUGCUAAUAUCAUCCUUCAGCCCAAUACUCCUAGCAUGCUGCAAGUGCUUAACCCUACUCAGUCCCUUCGUAAGCGGAUCUGCUGGGUUAUCUUCUGAUGAUAUCCUCUUCACUACGAGUUGUCCUUCUUCUACACGAUGUCUAAUGAAGUGAUACUUUCUGUCGAUAUGUCUUGAUCUACCAUGAUCCCUCGGUUCCUUGGUCAAGGCAACCGCGCCUUCGUUAUCACAGAAAAUCUCCAUUGGCUCCUUUAUGGCAGGUACAACUCCAAGAUCACCGAUGAAGUUCUUUAGCCAUAUUGCCUCCUUCGACGCUUCGCUCGCUGCAAUGUACUCUGAUUCGCACGUUGAAUCAGCUACGGUUUCCUGCUUGGAACUCUUCCAUGUCACUGCUCCUCCAUUUAGGGUAAAGACCCAGCCCGACUGCGAACGGUAGUUGUCCCUGUCGGUCUGAAAACUGGCGUCACUAUACCCUCGCACCUUCAAGUCAUCACUCCCUCCGAGGACUAAGAACCAUUCCUUUGUCCUCCGAAGGUACUUAAGGAUAUUCUUCACCGCAAUCCAAUGUGCUUUGCCAGGAUUCCCUUGAUAUCUGCUAACCAUGCUCAAAGCGAAGGCUACAUCAGGGCGAGUACAAGUCAUAGCGUACAUGAUUGAGCCAACUGCGGAAGCGUAUGGUACUCGGCUCAUUUCUGCUAUCUCAGCUUCGGUACUCGGACUUUGAGUCUUACUCAAUUUGGCAUUACUUUGUAUCGGUAGUUCUCCCUUCUUUGAGUUUUCCAUACUAAAACGUUUUAGUACCUUCUCUAAGUAAGUAUUCUGACUAAGUCCAAUUAGUCUCUUACUUCUUUCUCUUACUAUCCUUAUUCCCAAAAUGUAAGAAGCCUCUCCGAGGUCCUUCAUAGCGAAGCACUUCCCGAGCCAGGACUUAACCUCCUGCAGAGUCGGGAUGUCGUUUCCUAUGAGUAAUAUGUCAUCGACAUAUAGAACGAGGAAGCUUACUAUACUCCCACUGGCUUUGACAUAUACACAAGAUUCGUCUUCGCUUCGUACAAAUCCAAACUCUUUGACUUUCUCAUCGAAGCAAAGAUUCCAUCUGCGAGACGCUUGCUUAAGUCCAUAAAUGGACUUCUCAAGCUUACACACUCUAUUCGGAUGCUUCGGAUCCACAAACCCCUCUGGCUGAGCCAUGUAAACAUCCUCAGCCAACUUUCCGUUAAGGAAAGCGGUCUUGACAUCCAUUUGCCAAAUCUCAUAAUCAUGAAAUGCGGCAAUUGCUAGCAUCACUCUAAUAGAUUUAAUCUUCGCAACUGGUGAGAAGGUCUCAUCAUAGUCAACUCCGGGAGUUUGAGUAAAGCCCUUCGCAACCAAUCGCGCUUUAUAUGUGUGUACGUUUCCAUCCACGUCGGUCUUCUUCUUGAAGAUCCAUUUGCACCCAACGGUCUUACGUCCGGGCACAUAAUCAACCAAAUUCCAAACUUGGUUAUCAUACAUGGAUUGGAUCUCGCUAUCCAUUGCCUCUUUCCAUUUUGCAGACUCCGGGCCUGCCAUGGCUUCCUUAUAGCUAUUAGGUUCAUCAAGAUUUACUAGUGUACCAUCACUAAUAUACGUGUCCCCUUCGGUAGUAAUAUGAAAACCAUAAAACUGGGGAAGAACUCUAACUCUAUCGGAACGUCUAAGAGGUAAGGAUUCGUCAAUCGGUUCAACCGGAGUUUCCUCCUCGGGUUGAGUGCCAGCGGUAGAGGUUCCUUCAUCUAUCGACUCUUGAAUCUCUUCAAGUUCGAUUUGCCUCCCACUGUCUCCUUGGCUUAUGAGUUCUCGCUCUCGGAAAACUCCUCUCCUCGCAACGAAGACAACAUUGUCCUUCGGUCUAUAGAAGAGAUAUCCAAAGGAUGUCUGCGGGUAGCCGAUGAAAAUACAUCGCUCACUUCGAGGUUCAAGCUUGUCGUGAGUAUCUCGUCUUACGAAAGCCUCGCAACCCCAAACCUUGAUAUGUGCCAACGAGGGAGCUUUCCCUGUCCACAUCUCGUGAGGUGUUUUGGCAACCUUCUUAGUAGGGACUCGGUUAAGGAUAUGGGCGGCAGUCUCUAAGGCAUACCCCCAAAAAGAGAUAGGUAGUGAAGCACGACUCAUCAUAGAGCGAACCAUAUCCAAUAAGGUUCGAUUACGCCUUUCUGCCACACCAUUCAACUGCGGUGUCCUAGGAGGCGUCAAUUGUGAAACUAUUCCACACUCCUUGAGAUAAUCGUGGAAUUCAAGACUUAGGUACUCUCCUCCUCGAUCGGAUCGAAGCAUCUUGAUUUUCCUGCCCAAUUGAUUCUCCACUUCAUUCUUGAACUCUUUGAACUUUUCAAAGGUGUCUGACUUUUGCUUGAUUAAGUAGAUAUACCCAUAUCUACUAUAGUCAUCGGUAAAAGUCACAUAGAAGCGGUUCCCAUCCUUCGUGGUUGAUCUAAACGGUCCACAUACAUCGGUAUGUAUUAGGUCCAAUAGACCCUCGCCCCUUUCACAUGUACUCGUGAAGGGUGACUUAGUCAUCUUUCCAAGCAAACAAGACUCGCAUGUGUCAUCUUCCCUAAGGUCGAAUGACUCCAACACUCCAUCCUUUUGGAGUUGGGCUAUGCGUUUCUUGUUGACAUGUCCAAGACGACAAUGCCACAAGGAUGCUUUAUCCAUACUAGUGGAAGAAUCUAUGUUCAAAACAUCAUUUCCUAAGUUAUCAACAAUCAUAACAGUUUCAUAAAUUCCAUUACAUGGUAUAGCUUCAAAGUAAAAGACACCAUUUAGAUAAGCCAAAAUAGAACCAUUCUCAUUAUUAAAAGAAAAUCUAAAACCUUGUCUAUAUAAACCAUGAAAUGAAAUGAUGUUUCUAGCCAUUUCUGGCGAAUAGCAACAAUUGUUCAAAUCUAAACAUAAAUUAUUCCUAAGCACUAAAGAAUACACUCCAAUCUUGGUCACAGGCGACGAUCUUCUGUUCCCCAUGAUUAGAUUGAUCCUUCCUUGCUCCACAUCCCUACUUCUUCUUAGUCCCUGCACAUUAGAACAAAUGUGAUAACCACAACCGGUAUCAAGAACCCAAGAAAUAGCAUGAUUAGAAUCGUUAGAUUUAAUUGUGUAUAUACCUGCGAAAGAUGGCUUGAUCUUUCCUUCUUUGAUUGCUUGCAGGUACUCUGGGCAGCUUCUCUUCCAAUGUCCUAUCUUGUGGCAGUGGUGGCACUCUGCCUCCUUAGGGUUAGGGCAGGGCUUAGCGGGAUCAACUUUGGUCCCACUAGAAGAGGCACCAUCUCGGGCUUUAACCUUGCGAUAGUUCUUAGACGAAGCCUUCCUCUUCUUUCCCUUUCCUUGACCAAUAGCCAAGACAGGAGCAGCGGGUGGAUUGGGAGUUGGUGCAACAGACUUGUCUUUGAAGUUGCUCUCAGCGACCCUCAAGAGACCUUGGAGUUUGCUUAGGGUGACCUCCUCUUUGUUCAUGUGGUAGGUCAUCCUAAAUUGAUUGUACAUCGGAGGCAAAGAGUGAAGCACCAUGUCGAUCGCCAAGUCUUCCCCAAAGUCAACAUUUAACUUGCGAAGGCGGUCGACAUACCUUUGCAUCUUUUGCAGGUGCACGGUAAGAGAUUCUCCAUGACCCAUCUUAGCGGAAAUCAUGUUAGUGAAAAUCUCAUAACGCUCUUGUCUCGCGUUUUGGUGGUAUCUCUCCAAUAAGUCUUGAUGCAUCUCGUACGGGUACAUGUCCUCGUAGGACUUUUGGAAUUCGGAGUUCAUGGUGGCUAUCAUGAUGCAAUGUACCUUCGUUGCAUCUCGCUCAUGAGUUUCAAAAGCGGUAAUUUCAGCCGGAGUAGCGAUUUCAGGGUUGAUUUUCUCGAGCUUCUCAUCGAGGACAUACUCCUUAUCCUCAUAGCGAGCAAUGGUGCGAAUGUAUCUUAUCCAUUCGCUAAAGUUCGUUCCAUCGAAGGUGACCUUUUGGCAAAGGCUCAUCAACGUGAAAGAACUAGCAGCAGCGUUGUUUGCGUUCGACAUCUACAAUUAAAAAAGGACAAAGAUAGAUUAGAAUAAGAAUCCCUAAUUAUCACCCAAUAAGAAAAAUUAGGGCUAGGAUCCAACAAUAACAUUUACAUAUUAGAAAAGGGAUGCCGUAAUCUAACAUGCAAAUAAAUUGAAGGUAAGUGAAUGACGAUUCACUAAUUCUCCACCAUAAAACUUAACUAUUAGUCCUAAAUGUAUUGAGAAUUCCUAGGUUCGGAUGAGAUUCAUUGAAACUAUUCAAUGGCAUGUUUAAAUCUCGAUAUGCCCCUCUUGUUUGUGACUGGGAUACCGAGGAUCACAAAGCGGGUGUGAAUUACCAUGCAAAUUCACAUGGUGCCUUCAUUGUAACGAUCACCUAUUCGAUGUGCCGGUAAACCACACACGCUCCAUCGAACUAUGAUAAACAAUGAAUCACCCUUUGCCACCUUUGCUUAGAACCAAUUAGUGUGCCGGUAAACCACACACGCUCCACUAACUUCUUAGCAAGGGUGCAAAGUGUAAUUUCAUGGGAUUGCAUCAAUUCACUUUUCCUAAAGUAACUAGGAUUGGGAAAUUUUAAAAAAAUGUGUAGUUACUUUGUAUUACUUAUUAUACUUUUAAUGAGAGGAUGAGGUUGCCCUAUCCUACCCGUUCGGCUAACGACCCUCCACCAAUCAAGCAAGCGGUGGGUGUGAGUGUACACCCAUUAAGCGCCAUUUUAUAGGCCGCAACCUUAUACCCACCUUAUAGAUCGGCUUCGUGAAUGAGGCCUACUAACGGUAAGACUAGCAUUUUAGUUAUAUAUAUAUAUAUAUUAUUCUUGUAAUAUUAUAUUAGUAUAGGGUUGUAUUUUAAACCUUUUAAAAUCUAGGGUUUGAAAUUUAAAUUGUCUAAAUUAAAACUUUUAAUCACAAAAUAUAAAUUUCAAAACUUGAGGACAAGUUUUAAACAUUUAAAACAUGGAGGAUCAAAUAACAAAUAAUUUCAAUUAACAAUUAAUUUCCUAAUUAUCUAUAUUUGAUUUAUUCAAGAUUUCUUGCAAGAUAAUUACCAAAAUAAUCAAAAUAAUUAAUUAAUUAUCAUAUAAGGAAAUUAAAUAUUUUAUUAGUUGAUAAAUAUCUUUAAUUAGAUCAAGAUUAUAGUCAUAUAUAUCAAAAAAUCGGAUUAGGGUUGAUCUAAUAUGAUUAAGGUAAGUUUCCAUAAGAUAAUCAUGAAGAAAUCCCGAAUCUGGCCAUUCCUGACGCCUGGACUCGCCGAGUGCACAAGGGGACUCGCCGAGUCAGGCCUACUCGCCGAGUCCACCUUGGGACUCGCCGAGUCAGUGACUCAGAAACCAAAAAAUCGAAUUUUGCAGGUUUGUUUCAGUUAAAUAAGCAACAAUUUAAAGAAAACCAAGCUAGGCUCUGAUACCACUGAUGGGUUUUAGCCAUAAGAACUUUCCUAUGUGCGCAUGCAAAACCCUAAUGCUUGGAUCUAGGCUUUCUAAUUAAACAUGCUUUGAAUCCAAGACUUCUAAUGACUAAAUAGAUAUAAGAACAAUACUAAAUCAGAUCUAGAAUCAUACCUUUGAAUCUCUUGUUUGAUCUUGUUGUCUUGGAGCUCUAAAGUCACAAUUGUCACUCCUCUAAUGGCUUACAAACACCAAAUAGCAAGAAGGAUGAUUUGGGAGAGAGGAGAGGGGAUGAAAUCAGCCAGGGGUUCUCUACUUUAGAUCAAGUGCCGAUUUCCCUUUGCCAUAGGGUCUAUUUAUACUUGUAGACUCCUUAAGGGUUACAACCUAAACCCUAGUUGGAUAAUCUUCUCUUAAAGCAAUCCAAAUCCAUUCCUUAGAUAGACUUGGACGAUUUGAAGCUAUCUCUAGCUUCUAGAAUCCAUCCACCCCUAUCUAAUAUGGAUUUACAGUCUAAAGUUUAACUAUCAAACAAUUGACAGUUUAUACCUUCUUAUUUAAUUAAUCUCUUUAAGUCACCAAAUUAAUUCUAAUU